rnacentral:tRNA from 1 species
GCCCUGAAAGCUAAUUUAAGCAUUAGUCUUGUAAACUAAAAAUUGAGGGUUUCCUCUCCGGGCUC